GACGAACGCUGGCGGCGUGCCUAAUACAUGCAAGUAGAACGCUGAAGAGAGGAGCUUGCUCUUCUUGGAUGAGUUGCGAACGGGUGAGUAACGCGUAGGUAACCUGCCUGGUAGCGGGGGAUAACUAUUGGAAACGAUAGCUAAUACCGCAUAAAAUUGAUUAUUGCAUGAUAAUUAAUUGAAAGAUGCAACUGCAUCACUACCAGAUGGACCUGCGUUUUAUUAGCUAGUUGGUGAGGUAACGGCUCACCAAGGCGACGAUACAUAGCCGACCUGAGAGGGUGAUCGGCCACACUGGGACUGAGACACGGCCCAGACUCCUACGGGAGGCAGCAGUAGGGAAUCUUCGGCAAUGGGGGGAACCCUGACCGAGCAACGCCGCGUGAGUGAAGAAGGUUUUCGGAUCGUAAAGCUCUGUUGUAAGAGAAGAACGGGUGUGAGAGUGGUAAGUUCACACUGUGACGGUAUCUUACCAGAAAGGGACGGCUAACUACGUG
rnacentral:rRNA from 1 species